AGUGAUGUUAUCUGGGAUGGUUUUUAUGCCCCCAGAUCGCAUGAUCGGGGAUAUAUUGUUUUGGGCCUGUCUGUCUGUAAUUGUAUGUGUCUGUCAUUCUGUCCCAAAACUUAAACCUUGGUCAUAACAUUUGCAAUAUUGAAGAUAGCAACUUGAUAUUAGGCAUGCAUGUGUAUCUCAUGGAGCUGCACAUUUUGAGUGGUGAAAGGUCAAGGUCAUCCUUCAAGGUCAAAUGUCAAAUUUAUCGUGUCUGUCCGUCCGAAAACUUUAACAUUGGCCAUUACUUUUUAUGCCCCCCUUCGAAGAAGAGGGGGUAUAUUGCUUUGCUCAUGUCGGUCGGUCGGUAGGUCGGUCGGUCGGUCCGUCCACCAGGUGGUUGUCGUAUGAUAACUCAAGAACACAUAAGCCUAGGAUCAUGAAACUUCAUAGGUAGAUUGAUCAUGACUCGCAGAUGACCCCUAUUGAUUUUGAGGUCACUAGGUCAAAGGUCAAGGUCACGGUGACCCGAAAUAGUAAAAUGGUUUUCGGAUGAUAACUCAAGAACGCAUACGCUUAGGAUCAUGAAACUUCAUGGGUAGAUUGAUCAUGACUCGCAGAUGACCCCUAUUGAUUUUGAGGUCACAAGGUCAAAGGUCAAGGUCACGGUGACCCGAAAUAGUAAAAUGGUUUCCGGAUGAUAACUCAAGAACACAUACGCCUAGGAUCAUGAAACUUCAUGGGUAGAUUGAUCAUGACUGGCAGAUGACCCCUAUUAAUUUUGAGGUCAGUAGGUCAAAGGUCAAGGUCACGGUGACCCGAAAUAGUAAAAUGGUUUUCGGAUGAUAACUCAAGAACGCAUACGCCUAGGAUCAUGAAACUUCAUGGGUAGAUUGAUCAUGACUCGCAGAUGACCCCUAUUGAUUUUGAGGUCACAAGGUCAAAGGUCAAGGUCACGGUGACCCGAAAUAGUAAAAUGAUUUUCGGAUGAUAACUCAAGAAUGCUUUUGCCUAGGAUCAUGACACUUCAUAGGUACAUUGAUCGUGACGCGCAGAUGACCCCUAUUGAUUUUCAGGUCACUAGGUCAAAGGUCAAGGUCACAGUGACAAAAAUCGUGCUCACACAAUGGCUGCCACUACAAUGGACAGCCCAUAUGGGGGGCAUGCAUGUUUUACAAACAGCCCUUGUUCAAUAUUGAAGAUAGCAACUUGAUAUUUGGCAUGCAUGUGUAUCUCAUGGAGCUGAACAUUUUGAGUGGUGAAAGGUUAAGGUCAAGGUCAUCCUUCAAGGUCAAAUGUCAAAUAUAUGGUGUCUGUCCGUCCGAAAACUUAAACAUUGGCCAUAACUUUUUUAAUAUUGAAGAUAGCAACUUAAUAUUUGGCAUGCAUGUGUAUCUCAUGUAGCUGCACAUUUGAGUGGUGAGAGUUCAAGGUCAAGGUUAUCCUUCAAGGUCAAAUAAUAUAUUAAAAAUUUAAAGCAGCAUUCUCAUGAAGCUGCUUAUUUUGAGUGGUGGAAGUUCAAGGUCAAGGUCAUCCUUCAAGGUCAAGAUCAUCCUUCAAGAUCAAAGGUAAAAAAAAAAUUCAAAGCGGCCUUCUCAUGAAGCUGCACAUUUUGAGUGGUGGAAGUUCAAGGUCAAGGUCAUUCUUCAAGGUCAUGGUCAUCCUUCAAGGUCAAAGGUAAAAAAAAAAUCCAAGCGGCAUUAUCAUGAAGCUGCACAUUUUGAGUGGUGGAAGUUCAAGGUCAAGGUCAUCCUUCAAGGUCAUGCUUCAAGGUCAAAGGUAAAAAAAAAAUAUAUAAAAAUUCAAAGCGGCGUUAUCAUGAAGCUGCACAUUUUGAGUGGUGGAAGUUGAAGGUCAAGGUCAUCCUUCAAAGUUAAAAAUAAUAAUAAAUUCAAAGCGGCGUUCUCAUGAAGCUGCACAUUUUGAGUGGUGGAAGUUCAAGGUCAUCCUUCAAGGUCACGGUCAUCCUUCCAGGUCAAAGUUUAAAAAAAAAAAAAAACUCAAAGCGACGUUCUCAUGAAGCUGCACAUUUUGAGUGGAGGAAGUUCAAGGUCAAGGUCAUUCUUUAAGGUCAAGGUCAUCCUUCAAGGUAAAAAAAUAAAUCAAAGCGGCGUUCUCAUGAAGCUGCACAUUUUGAGUGGUGGAAAAUCAAGGUACAGGUCAUUCUUCAAGGUCAAGGUCAUCC